rnacentral:rRNA from 1 species
GAUGAACGCUGGCGGCGUGCCUAAUACAUGCAAGUCGAGCGAACAGACGAGGAGCUUGCUCCUCUGACGUUAGCGGCGGACGGGUGAGUAACACGUGGAUAACCUACCUAUAAGACUGGGAUAACUUCGGGAAACCGGAGCUAAUACCGGAUAAUAUAUUGAACCGCAUGGUUCAAUAUUGAAAGACGGUUUUGCUGUCACUUAUAGAUGGAUCCGCGCCGCAUUAGCUAGUUGUUAAGGUAACGGCUUACCAAGGCAACGAUGCGUAGCCGACCUGAGAGGGUGAUCGGCCACACUGGAACUGAGACACGGUCCAGACUCCUACGGGAGGCAGCAGUAGGGAAUCUUCCGCAAUGGGCGAAAGCCUGACGGAGCAACGCCGCGUGAGUGAUGAAGGUCUUCGGAUCGUAAAACUCUGUUAUUAGGGAAGAACAAAUGUGUAAGUAACUAUGCACGUCUUGACGGUACCUAAUCAGAAAGCCACGGCUAAAUACGUG